rnacentral:lncRNA from 10 species
CAAUAAUUGGAUGUAACAAAAAGCAGAGUAUUUUGAGACGUAUAUUAAUGCAAAAUAUUGUUAAUGUAUCAGUGGAUUGUUCCUCCAAAGUACCAGUGCCUUAACACAACAUAUCUAAAAGAACAUCUCUGGGAACAGUAGUACUUAAUGGCAACUUGAGAAUUGGUUUGUGGGCACACAGCCUUGUGAAGUUUUGAAUACUAAAUCCCUUUUUUAAAAAAGUGCUUAUUAUCAGGCUAUCAAUCAAAAGAUUUGAGUCUUUCAGUAAAGAAAAUUUGCUUAAUUUUAUCUAGUGCAUGAUAAACUUUACUAAGGAAGUCUCAUUCAGAAUAUCUAAUAUUUUGGAUGUGAGCCCACACUGGAAAUGCCAUAACCAAAAAAGAGUGACCCUAAAGAUAGAAUAUUCAGAUCUAAUGGCAGAUGCUUAGCUAUGCUGGGAAAGGAAGUGAAUUGUAUAUUGCUCUGCUGCUCACAUAUUCCUCUGCAAUAAAUUGCUGGCCCAGUUUAGUUUUUAUAUACUCACUACUAUACUAAUGAGGAUGGCUCAAUUUUUUAUUUGAACGUACUAUAAUGAAUUUAAACUUUCAUUGGUAUUUAUGUUUUAACAGGUUUUCACUAUUUCAAAUAUACUUCAAUAAAUAUCCUUGUCUGUGAUCA